UAAUAAUACGGAAGUUCUUAUUCGCGCUUGGAAUGUCGCUCGAUUCUGCACGCCCGACGGCUGACGACCGCGCAGCGCAACGGCGACUUGGACACGUAUGCAUGGUAUUGAAAGCGUUGGUUUUUGAAUUAUGACCUUGAAGAUUCAAUUGGUUGUGAUGGUGAUGCUAGCGCCGCGCGUAGUGGUUGUUGGAAGUAGUGAAAAACGUGGUGAGGUGGUGAUGAGUGCACAUGGGGGUUGCUGCUUGCUGGGAGGUGAUAGUACAAGACAUGAAAUUUUAACUCGUACAAAUUCGCAAAUUAACUAUCGGCAAUGUCAGGCUUCCAAGUGGAAUGGGCCUGAUUCGAUCCUGAAUAAUUGAUUGCCCCGGCGGAAUUUCGAGCAUGGCAUAAUUAAUUCACACGCACGCCGCAUCCACAUGAGCACCAAAACCAACAUGGCGGCCGGUAACGCACAGCCGCAUAAUAAACGACCGGUCAUUUUGAUUUACCCAACAGUCGCACCGGAAACAGUAGUGGUACCAAUAAUCUCCUGCAUCUUGGGCUUUCCACUGCUGGCGCUCUUGGUGAUUUGCUGUCUGCGCAGGCGCGCGAAGCUUGCGCGUGAACAAGCGCGUCGACGAAACUACGACUACGAUCACGGUACUUUCUCUAUUGUCAGAUACAGCCCGGUACACUUAUUAGGCCGAUCAAGAGCUGUUUCUCUACGUUCCGAACGCGGUAUGAGCCGUGGCUUCCCCUCGAUGGAACUGGACACAGUUGUAGAAGAGCGUUCGGAUCCGGAACCGGAAGCCACAGUCGUCGAAAUGAUUACACCGGAUCGCGAGUCCCAUGACAGCUAGCAUACGGCCAGGGGUGUCUCCAUCGUGGACAGUUCGGCUAUGCACGUAUGACGAGGACCCAUUCCUAGAUCACCUCUGUGGACGACCCUCACACACGCUAGAAAUUUGGUCAUUGAUAUCGAACGGGAUAGCUGACCCGAGGAGCGCCGUGCAAACGGCAAACUUCUUCCCGGCGUGGAAAACACGCACCCGUACUAUCACAAACCGGAAAACACCGAUGAUGAUGAUGACGAUGACGAUGAUGAUGAUUUGAAUGAUAUACAAGAUGGCGACUAUGAUGACGAUGACGAUGGUGAUGAUCAAAAUGGCAGCGGCGAGGAGGAACCGCACAACCCCGAUCCGGUGAUACCGCAUAUCAUCCCUCUGCCAUUCAUUAGAGGCCAUUAAAUUCCACCCUCUGCGACCCGAUAAUACCACUUCCACCACCUUCAGUUUAAGUUUACGGUGCGGGCAACUUAAUUGCGAAUUAAGCGAUUAUAGAAGUGCGAAUUCACGAAUUCACGAUUGUAGUUGUGAAGAGUUGUAAAGGUAAGAAGAGGGUUGAGGGGUGGAAUAGCAAGGGGUAGUUUUGAAUUAUUCCAAGUUUACUAAUGGAUUUAAUUAAUUCAGUCGAAAGUGGGUCAUUGCGACAUAUCACAACAAAUGGUGGCCAAAAUACUAAUUAAUUAGUUAUUACCAAUUAUAUUGCUGUAGAAUUAAAUAAUUAUACAGUGUGUUCACGUAAAAGUUUAAAAUAUUAAAAUAAUCCACAGAGCCAAUGGAUUAUUUAAUAAUUUCAUGAGAUGUGAUUUUAUUUGAACACAUUUGUAUGUAUUUUUUAUAAAUUAAUGUAACAUAUGUACAUACCUAACACCUAACAUGUAAUCGCCUGUAAAAUACUAAAUAUUAUUGUUAAUGAAUAUAAAUUAGACGUAGAUUGAUAUUAA